rnacentral:rRNA from 1 species
AGCAGCCGCGGUAAUUCCAGCUCCAAUAGCGUAUAUUAAAGUUGUUGCAGUUAAAAAGCUCGUAGUUGAACUUCGGAAUUUAUUCAUUGGUCAGACUUAACUGUCUGUACUGGUGUUAUGAAUUCCUACCUUCUGAGGAAUUAUCAUGCCAUUUAGUUGGUGUGGUAGGGAAUCAGGACUGUUACUUUGAAAAAAUUAGAGUGUUUAAAGCAGGCUAACGUCUGAAUACAUUAGCAUGGAAUAAUAGAAUAGGACGGAUUGGUUCUAUUUUGUUGGUUUCUAGGAUCACCGUAAUGAUUAAUAGGGAUAGUUGGGGGCAUUAGUAUUCAAUUGUCAGAGGUGAAAUUCUUGGAUUUAUUGAAGACUAGCUACUGCGAAAGCAUUUGCCAAGGAUGUUUUCAUUAAUCAAGAACGAAAGUUAGGGGAUCGAAGACGAUCAGAUACCGUCGU